GACGAACGCUGGCGGCGUGCUUAACACAUGCAAGUCGAACGGAAGGGCCCUGCUUUUGUGGGGUGCUCGAGUGGCGAACGGGUGAGUAACACGUGAGUAACCUGCCCUUGACUUUGGGAUAACUUCAGGAAACUGGGGCUAAUACCGGAUAGGAGCUCCUGCUGCAUGGUGGGGGUUGGAAAGUUUCGGCGGUUGGGGCUGGACUCGCGGCUUAUCAGCUUGUUGGUGGGGUAGUGGCUUACCAAGGCUUUGACGGGUAGCCGGCCUGCGAGGUUGACCGGCCACAUUGGUACUGCGAUACGGCCCAGUAUCCUACGGGAGGCAGCGGUGGGGAAUAUUGCACAAUGGGCGGAAGCCAGAUGCAGCAACGCCGCGUGCGGGAUGACGGCCUUCGGGUUGUAAACCGCUUUCGCCUGUGACGAAGCGUGAGUGACGGUAAUGGGUAAAGAAGCACCGGCUAACUACGUG
rnacentral:rRNA from 1 species